ACCUGCCCCUCCUUCCCCCUGUGGCUUCUUCCUUUCUUCCCGCCCGUCUGAGAGGGACUGGUCUGGAGAAGCCUCUCCAGACGUCCCUGCGAAUGACGGUACUCGGCGGGCGGCUGUGGAACGGAGGCCGAGCGACCUCCACAGCUCCCGCAGUGUGGCAACAGAACAGCAGUCUGGCAUCACGCUAGCUCUGUGUCUAGAUUCCCCUGUUGCUACUGAAAAGAUGGAGGAGAAAACAGGAGAAGAAGUGGGCUGUCAUGGCAAGGGGCUUUGCGUCUCUGCCCUGGACGAUGUCCCGUGUGUGGGACAGGCUGCUCGAUAAGCUCUCCUCCCCAUACUCGGUUCGGGGGAUGCGCUGGGAGAGCUCCGAAAGUUUUGUCAACAGGAGUAUAAGCAUCCAAACUGCGAGGUUUUAAUGAGGAUGCUGGUGCUCCGGCAGUAUUGGAAUCGGCGCCAGCAGCACUGUCCGUCUGUGCCUCCAUUCGUCUGCAAGGCACGGCACAGUCGGAAGACGCGGUGACGCCAGUAGGGGAGAGGGAUGAGGACGGUGAUAUAUUGCUCAGGGCAAAAAUGAGUGAGAACCGUCGUUUUGGUGUCAAAACAGCCAUAGCAGUUUGAGGUGUUACCAGAACAGAAGGACAACGCCCUUCACAGAAGGACAAACGGACAAACGCCACCACCACAUCUUCUUCCCUAGAACCUCUACAGCCCGUCUGUUCUGCCGUUGCUUUUAAUCUUUAUUUUACCACGGCCCGGAGUGAAAGCGGUGCUCAGAUAAUCUGCUCGCUCCUUUGGCUGAGAUGCCUAUGCUAAGAAAAACAACUCGAAAUUGUUACCCUAUUGACGGGCGGAGAAAUUUACACUCGGGUUUUACUAUGUGGUAGAUGUAGCAGAGUUUUGUGUAUUUCCCUCCGUGUGCAUCGCUGGUACCGAUCAGCACAUGCAGCACGGCAGCUGAAACACGUGAACGGAAGACGCGUCUCGCGUGAUUUUGCAAAUGCAUUUAGCAGCGACGCUGCUUUUAAAUUUAAAUAUUUUAUGGACAUAAGCCCAAAGCGCCCACUGGGAAAAAAUAAAAAAAUAAUACCACCAAACAACUAAAAAGAAACACCAACACACACACAACAUAUCAUAUUCUUAUAUUUUUUCUGAAAUCAUUUCCUGGAGAUGCAGAAGAAACGUCCUAUGAGAGACAGGUUACUCUUCUGUCUAUCCGCAGCCUGUUGAGAUAUGAGAAAACCACAAAUUCGUAAGAGGAGAUGUGGAAAGUCAAUCAAAAAAAGAAGAACCUGAAAAAGAAGGGGCGGUUAAUCCAAUCAACCACCACCUCUAACUUCCCCGGAGUACAUCUUUUCCCUGACAUCCUACUGCGUUUAGAGCAUUUCCCCGCCAUUCUCUCGCUGAAGAAUUACAUUUCUGUAACAUCAAACCUUUCGUUUUCAUUACUUUUAUUAAAAAGAACAAGGGAGAAUCGAGGGAAGAUAAAAUCCUGCUACGAUCAGCUAACAAGAACUUCCGAGAAAAAGGUAUUUCCACGCAACACCGGUACAAAUUCAACAAGGAACGGGGGGCCAUUCUGCAAGGAGGAAUACUAAAAUGUUGUUGUUCCCUGAGAUAUUGCAGCUCCGUCCCCCUGCGUAUCGUAAGCCCAACUUCUCUUCAAAUAGACACCCACAGACCGACACAAUAUUUUGAUCGCGGCAAACAACACGCGAAGCGCGGUGUAAGGAGGGGAAGGAGGCGACAGUUACCACACCCCACGCCCUCUGGGGAAGGAGGGGCGAGUUACCACACCUCACGCUCUCUGGCGACUGAGAAGUAGAGAUGGAACAGAGAGCCGAGAAUGUUGCCUGUCACCCGAGGGAUGCUCUACUUGCGGAGCAUGCUUCUUCUCGCUUUUUAAAAUUAUUAUUUUUUUAAAUUUUGUUGGGGCAGAGUUCAUACACGGCGGCCAGGGGUAUCAGUAGGACAGCACUGGAAGGGCACGUCCUGGACAGUAUCAGUAGGGUAUCAGUAGGACAGCAGGAUAUCAGUAGGACAGCGCUGGAGACGAACUGCACCGGGAGGUGACGCUAUUCCCCCGCCGCCGAGGAGGAUGAGGUGUGCGGGGCUCGGGGCAGCCGGGAUGGGCAGCCGCGGGCCCUGGGCGGGACCGAUCCCACGGAGGAACUGAAUGUCCUCCUGCCUCCUUCCCGCCUUUUCUACCCUCUCAGAAGUGGAGUCCGGCCUGCCCAGGCAUUGUACACUGGCCGGGGAGGGAGAGGUAAACAUGAACCUGCAGACUGAAUUUAAAAUCAAAUCAAAACAUAGCAAGGCCAUGAAACAGGGAAAAAAAAAAAAAAAAAAAAAAAAAAAAAAAAAAAAAAAAAAAAAAAAAAACCAGGAAAAAAAAAUCUUAUUCACUCCCCUGCCACAUUCGUGGGAAACAGAAAUAACAGAAUAACAGUGCAUUCCAAACCUUGUCUUUCUGAUGAGUUAUUUUACACCUAGGUAUAAGCUGAAUACUCAAAUAAAAGAAAAGAAACGACAUCGAGAAAAUUUGGUUCAUUCCUCUUCAGCCCAUGCCACAAGCCAAAACAAUGCCUUGCACGGAGUCGACUGCUCUGGCCCAUCAUCCCUGGCUGGAGCUGAAGUUGGCAUUCUGCAUGCUCGCAAAACACACCCAUCAAAGAGUUUAGUAUACUUCAACCUCUGAAAACCUUAACAUUUAGUGAUCACAUGAAUUCUGGAUGAAAGAAACACAACUUCCAUCCCCUCUUCUUCUGCUCCUCUUGAUUUCUGCCUUUGUACCUCUAAUAAGGAGACAUGUUCUUAACCGCAAAAAAAGGGUCAUUGGCUUUUUAUUAUUAUUUCCAGAGGAGGUACACAGUGAGGAUGUAUACGUACUGAAAGCUUUUGUUUAAAAAAAAUAGAUUUGAGUGUGUGUGUGUGUGUGUGUGUGUGUGUGUGUGUGUGCGUGCGUGUGUGUGUGCAAAGAUAAAACGCUAAAUUCUGGGUUUUUUUCUCGUACGGGAAAAAAAAUCGUCAUGCCAAAUGACUUCAAUUAUUUCACCAAAUAUCUGGUUUACGUUCUACAUUUUUUCAUUUCAAUAUUUCAGUCUUGCAGGGGAAACAAGAAAGUAAAAACAAAAGGGAAAGUAAAGAGAAGAGAAAAAGAAAAAAUGAGAAAAUACAGUACCUGCACCUUCACUUUUCUAAAAAAUAAUGCUUAUGUGUAGAACAAUAUGCAGUUUGGAUUAUUUACAAAUAGUAUAAGAAGACAGGGAUGAAAAAAAGUGGGAGAAAAUUGAAGUGUCUGGGUUUAGAGAAGGAUAGGUAUUGAAAGCACUGAUGGGGAGGGAAAAAAGGAAUGAUAGGGGAAAAUGAAUGAGAAUAUGGAGAAAAGUAUUUAUUUCAGGCAUUUAUUAUUUACAACCCAGCAAUCUGUCUCAUGCAGCGGCCACUCCAAAUCAGAGUAUUAUUAGUGCUGUUAUAUAUUAAUUUGUUUAUCUAUCCUUGGAAAUCCAAGAAAUCGCCAACUUCGGUGGCAUUUCAGUCACCCUGGAUGAUCCGUACAGAUGCGCAGCGGAACAUAGGCACCACUGGUUUUAGAGGUAAAUCCUGAUAUUAGGCCGAUAUUGGGCAAUGUGUAUGCGGGGUGGCUGAGGAGGGGUGGGGGCUGUGUUUAUGCUACUCUACCCGUCAUGUUUAAGUGUCAAGUGUCUGGGAUCUGAGGGAACACGUAGCUCUCCCCAUGAUGCCCGUGACCCGGCGGAGGCGCAGGCAGGGCGAGGAAGGGGUGCGCUGACACCCCUCCAGCCCCAGGGCUGAUACAAAAGAGACCGCUGUGAUUCGCGAGGCCGCCGUGCAGUAAAGCGGGGCGAGGAGGGGAAAGGAGGGGGAGGAAAGCUAUGAGGCGGACUCCCGGCAUCAUGGCGGAAUUUAGUCCGGGAGCGGAGGCGGCGGCUACCCCCGUCCUGUCGGGGCUGGAGCGAGGCGCGGAGUAAGCCACCAUGGGGUGCGAGGGACGAUGUGGGAUGCGCUACAGGGACGGAAAGACGGACAGACCCACGCUCACUUUUGCCCGCCUCCCCGCACACGCUAACGCGACUCCGCAAGGGAGCGACAGCUGCACGUGCGCUCACGUGUGCUUAUUAUAAGAAGGAGAUGGGCGAGGGAUGGGUUGCGUCCGCGGGCCGGGAAUCCCCGGCACCCGCUCUAGGUAAAAAUGUGUAGAAAUGGUGCUUUCUUAAUGGAUUGCUGCUAUGGUAAGGUAAGAGCUAAUCUGAUGGAUGACCGUGUCGAUUUCCGUUUUGGGAGAGUAUUAAUUUUUUACACGUUUUACGUGUAGGCACAUGACUGUUUUUUACUGGGUGACAUGUCAGCGUAGGGCUUGUAAAACUGGAGCGAGGAGUAGCGCUGGAAAUAACUUUAGAAACGACAAAGAAGUAAAAGAUACUUGUGAUGAAACGGGCACAGAAUAAGAGACACUCCAACCUUUAUUUUAAAAAAUACAUACACAGUAGUCUUUGGGGAGGGCUAACUUUUGCCCGAUAUGUCCAUUCAGAUAAGUCAUCAAUAAUCUACGCAUGCAAUUGAGCUUUUGAAAAAGAAAAUAAAAUACUAUGCAUGGGCUUUUUUUUUUUUUUUUUUUUUUUUGCCUUUUUUUUUUUAGUGGAAUAACUUUUUUUGUUUAAAAACAACAUUCCUGGACUUUAAAAAGAACAUUCAUGGACUAAAAAACCAGCACAAUCUUUUGGUUUUACUAUUUAAACUACUCUCUUUUCAUUACACGUUAAGGUAAACUGAAAUGUGCUACCUGUGAUUGUCACAUAAUUCAAGGCCGAUGGAUUUUCAGAUAAAGCAGGUGUAAGUCUAGAAGCAGUAUUUUAAAAAAUAAUCUAAACGCUCUUUCUGAGAAGGAUUAGGUGCUGGAUUCAAAUAUGCACAUGUUAGAAACCAUAUGUCACACAUUUAAUAAUGCAGCACCUAAGACAGAAAUUACAAAAUGUCUUCCUCGGAGAAAGCUCUCCAUACCUCGCUCUGCAUAUUUUAAGAAAGAAUUUUGAAAUAAAAUUUUUCUGCAAUAAAGGCAGAUACAAGUGCACUUAGAGGGCGUAAAACAGCAAUGAAAUCUUUUAAAUACAUUUAAAUUGCCCCCAGAACACCUCUUAUCUAUAUUGCUUUAUACCUUAAAAUGGGACAGAAGAGGAGUGGUUUGUUGGUGAUUUCUAGAUCUUGGUUUUCUUAAUAUGAAUUUACUUAGACAAUCAAUUUCCAGUCUCCAGCUAGCAGUGUGAAAACUGAGCAGGGUAGUAAGACCCUCAAGUCUUUUUAAUGUCCAGUAAACAUCUUGUGCGCUUUGAUUUGUAUAACUAGCACUGUUCAUUAACUGUAAUCUUAUACAGAAUAGAAGCAUGGAGGAAACUGGAUAUAAAGACACAUACACUGCAGAGUCUCACCAAAACACGGGGAAAUAGGAGAGAGGUGCGGGAAAGGACAAGUGUAUCUAAAGAAAUAGAAAGGAAGGAGCAAAGGACAAGUGGUAGGCUGCAAUUUUCAGUAAAUCAAAAACAGUGCAAAUAUACCUUACAUAUGCAUCAGUAUUAAAAGUAACACACGCUGGAGCCAACAGGAGCAAGAGGAGGAGAAGAGAAUGGCGCAACAGUGGAUCUCGGCUCACACACAGCGGCCGCCCGCGCCCAUACGGGCUCUUCUACGCGCCGCAGCCCGGACCCGAUCGCUCAUUUCGGGGAUGUUUGUUUUGUUGAUAAUGAUGAUGAUAUUUGGAAGAAAAGGGAAGGCCCCGCUAAUUCCCGCCGAUUAGGAUCUUCGCAAAUAGGGUCGAUCGCUCCCAGAACCCGCGGUCUCUUCUCCGAAUAGGGGGAUUUGUAUAUUCUUUUAUUUUCUUUUUUCUUUUUUUUUUUUAAUGCCCUGCUUUCGUUAAUGCAUGUAAGUGUGGACGGAUAUGCAGAAUGCUUUCAGUUGACGUCAACAGACGCGACCUCUCCGCUAAGCAUUGAACGUGAAGAGGGGAUGGGGGAACUCGGGGCGAGGGCGCAGUCCCACUCUACGCCAUGAAAUGAGCUCUAGCAGCAGGAGCAGUUCUGCCCAGCCUAGAGCUUGACUCCAAAAGUAAGCCGACCUCAUCGCAGCACUGCAGAGUCCGUCCAGCCUUUUCUAUCUUUUUUCUUUCAAUUUUUUGUUAUGUAUAUAUAUAGAUAUACAUAGAUAUAGAUAUAGCUAUAUAUAGUAGUAAUAGUAGUAAUAGUAGUAGUAGUUGUAGUAGUAGUGGUGGUGGUGGUAUUUGGACGUUAUUUGCUGCUUCUUUUCAUCAGGAGACGAGCGGAAAUUAGAAACUUCCAAGCAAUUUUAAAAGGUAAUAAGAAAAUUCCCCUCUUCCUACCCAAAGCGUUGCAUGACAGAGGAACGUUGAGCCGGUGAGGGCGUAGCAUUCCUCCGGACGCUGCUCUGUUGUGCAUCGCAGGUACUGGGCUCGAAGAGAGGAAGUGGGGGAAGACAGGCUGGCGGCCGAAGGAGUGGGGUAAUCUUCAUCUCGGGUCGCAACCGCUGCCUGUCUGAUCUGCAAGUCCAAGGCGCUCUCACGGCUUUGCAGUGAUGCUUUCUCACUCCAUCGGGAGGAGACGCCGUGUAAACGGGGAUUCGGUGAACUACCCAUACCGUACUGGCGAGGAGUAGGUCAGAGCAUUCUGUCCUCCUCUUUCCCUUCCCUCACUCCUUUUGGAGACUCUGCGGUGCGUCGUGAUGUUUGGGAGAACUUCAACUUCCCAGGGUACUUCAGACGGCGAAGAGCCAGGUUGAGAUGUAGCAGUGGCUUAGAAACGAGUGGUGUUCUCUGUGAGGACCAGGGUUUCUCUCCUUUUCUGCUGACAUUGUUUAUGCUUUUUUAGCUUUCUAUGAGCUGUUCCAGAGUAUCUCUGUGGACCUCGACACAGCCGUUCCUACGGCUGCACACCGCAUACUCACUCACUGCUUCUCCCUUCAAGCAUCUCAACUAAACUUAAAUGCUCUCUCCAGGAAGCGGAAACGUCUCCGAAGGCUGUGCCGGCAGGGAAUACCUGUCUGCCCGGGGCUGCUGCGGGGCUCUCCACGUGGAAAUAUUCCGCAGAAGUCUGCGGCUGGGAACGGCAGAGCGCCUUCCCUCUCCCUGGAGCCGAGCGCCGCGGGGUACAGACGCCUGUAUCUAGAAAUAUUUAUAUGGAUGGAUGCAUACAUAUCCAUACACACACAUGUGUCUGUGUAGAGGCAUCGGUAGGGUGUAUAUAUGUGUAUGUAUGUAUUUAGUAUUUUUUUAGCGUCAUCCCCCCACCCCCUUCCCCCGCCAACCCCCAUCGCUCGCAGCCCCCUCCCCUCCGAGGGGCACCGUGUAUACACGUGUUUGGUAUAUCCGACCCAAAGUGAGGAGCCAGCAGGACAUCGCCCCCCCUCAGUUACACCCCACACGCACAGAGGCUAGAGCAGGGACGAGCCGUCCUGUCAUCCCCUCGCCCUGCAUACCUCCCUCUAUUCCUCCCUCCUCCAUCUCUCCCUCCACCCCUCCCUCACUGCACACCUCCCGUUCCGGCGCUAACCCAAACUUCUUCCCGCAGGCCCCCGCCCCCCGCACCCUAAAACCUAGGUGGGGCUUUUCUGGGGUUUUCAUGCUGUUCUCAAACCCGGAGAGAUGGAUGAGAGGGCGCAGAAGGAAACGGCAGUGCUUUAGGACAUCCUCCUCCCAGUGACGAGAGUACACGCUACAAGUUCACCUGACCACCUGACAACAGGAAUGGGAAGAGUGUUUUUUGUUAACACCAUGAUUUUUCCUGUUUGUUUUUUGGGAGUUUGGGGGGGGGGGGGUGGUGUUACCUGCUGUUGACUGGUUGCUUGGUUUUGACAGGAGCUGCACAAAAUAUCAGUGCCUCCCAAAAUCAAGACUCAAAUGAAACCAUUCUUCAGAAGUUAACUGGAGGAAAACACCCUCGACCUUUUGCUUCACUUUUUUUUUUAACUCGACCUUUUGCUUCACUUUUUUUUUUCUUUUUUUUCUUUUUUUUUUUUUUAUGUUUCCCAAGAAAUGCAAGCUUUCCUUCUUCUCUAGGAUAAAAAGUACUCAUUGCCCUUCUCUGCACCAGACAUUUCUAAUUUGUUCUAUUGUCAGAACGGGACUAUGAGAGAUUUUGGUGCUAAUUCAUUAUUUCUGACAACGCAUAGGAACUGAACGCAUAUAGUAGGAACUGAAAAAGACCGUGGCAAUGGAUGAAGAACAAUAGGGCUUCAGUUCAUCAGCAACAAAAGCGUUGGAGAAAUUGGCUGAAUUUCGGAGGACUUCCUCCUCAGCAGAGAGGCUGGACUAGAUCUUGGUCAAACCCCCCAAAAAACUUGCAGAAUCUCACAUACAAUAGUUCACUUUCUACUCUGGGGCGUAGGAAACAGUGUGGAAAAAUAAAAAAAAAAUAAUGGCAAACCCAAGCCAACUUUCUCCAUUUCUCUCCCGUUUUCAUGGAUGGAAGAUUUUAAACUAUUUUGGAGUUGUUGGAACAAGAACAACACCGUGGAUCUAAGGGACACUUUUAAAUAGGGAGGAAGAAGGGAAACACAUGAAUUUCUGAACACCUGAAAGAGCUUUUUCUGCUCCUAGGGGCCUUGGCCAUGGGAAUUUUUGUUUGCCACCAGAGGCUCAACUCACCCCCUACAUGUGGGGUAAAAUCAUUCCCUGAUAAAGGCGAAGAUAAUGUAAGUACUGCA